AUGCAGUAUUAAGAGUUUCCAUCCCUUUGAUUUUUCACUGGGAAAAUCUAGAAAUUGUGAGCUCUGGGGAUGAGGUGAACUUGGCAUGGAGCUCCGCCAGCCCCUACAGGAGGCACGCAGAUGCCAGACUCGGCUUCCCGUGCCUGUGCAGACACAAAGCUGUGGUUCACGGGGAGCUGCUUUUCACGCGUUUGCGCCUUCAAACGUGGAGAGUGUUGUUAGCUCGGAUUUAUUCAUUCUCGAACAAAUAUCUAUUAAACAUCCCCCAAGCUGAGGAAACUGAGAUUCAAGGAGUUGGGAGACCUCACCCACAGUCACGUGGAUCCUAACUGGCUGAGAUGAGUUUUGGGCUCCUGCUGGGCUGUUGGGACCCAGAGGUCGGCGACAAGGUCACCCAGGUCUCAGGCCUCAUACUCCUCCUGGCUCAAGUACUCUACAGGUGACAUUGGACGGGGCCAUCAUAGACCAGCUGUGUGGGGGUCUGGGGGAGUCCCAUGGUAAACACCCCUGUCCCCGUGAACCCUGCCAGCACUGGGAGAAGCUCUUCUUAGGAUGUCCACUUUACAAACCUGACCCUGCACACCCCGCUCUGUGCCCUGCACCUCCAUCCUGAACUAUCUGGACACAGCAGUGCCUCCUGCCACCCUGCCAGCACCGAGCCCCUCUUCCAGCCCACCCCAGUGGGGUCCAGGCCCCUCCCUGGAGCCUCACCUUGCGGGUCACGGUGCACUGCUGAGUCAUGUCCUGGAUGAGGGCUAUGAGCUGCUGCUGAGCCCUGCAGAGACCAGCAGAGGCCCUGACCCAGCUGCCUCCUGCCAGGAGGAGGAAGCCGAGGCAGGCUGGGUGCCAUUUCCCUGUGGGCCUCUCUGGGGACGCACCGAGCUCGAGGCAGCUGCUCACCUGGAGUAGUUGGGGAUGGUGCCGUGCGCGGCAGCAGCAGAAGCCGUCCACCCUCCUGAGAAGCCCCACGGCCUCCUCCAGGGUCGUGUCCUCCAGGACUGCCUUGAACAAGGGCUCUGAGGCUUCGUAAUCAACCUGAGGGCAAGUCGAGAAGGUCAGUCUCUUUCCCCCGGGACUCUGAAUCCAGCCAGAAGACAGAAGGCGCUGAGGGCACUGAGGCGAGGCGCGGGCCAGCCCUGCCGUAGGACCACUGCCUGCACGCCUUGGUCAAAACAAAGCCACACACCAGAGCCUCUGUGGGGCCUUCACACCUCUAGUGAUGCGUGCUACACAUAGUGCUGGCCAGAGAGUCAACUGCCA
rnacentral:lncRNA from 10 species